GGCCGCGUGGCCUAAUGGAUAAGGCAUCUGACUUCGAAUCAGGGGAUUGCAGGUUCGAGUCCUGCCGUGGUCG